UUUUCCCUUUGAAGUCAGGGAUCCCCUGUUUUAUACCCUAUGAUUAUUGUUAAUGUUUCUGUUUCUCUCAGUUUUAAGACAAUUAUCUCCUAUAUUGAUGAGCAAUUUGAGAGGUACCUGCAUGACGAGAGCGGCUUGAACAGGAGGCACAUCAUUGAUAAUAGGGUGCAUUGUUGCUUUUACUUUAUUUCACCUUUUGGACAUGGGUAAGUAAUUGUUUACCGUGGAGAAAUGCUUUACUACAUGGGUUUGUAAGUUUUACCCAAACUGUGUAUUUUAAUAUAAGAAUUAAGAUAAUUUGAGAGAGAAGAGUUUUGUAUGUAUUUUUUUUAAAUAAGUGACACUUCUAAAAUUAAUUUUAGACUUAAGCCCUUAGAUGUGGCGUUUAUGAAGGCAAUACACAACAAGGUGAAUAUUGUGCCUGUCAUUGCAAAAGCUGACACUCUCACUCUGAAGGAACGGGAGCGGCUGAAGAAAAGGAUUCUGGAUGAAAUUGAAGAACAUAACAUCAAAAUCUAUCACUUACCUGAUGCAGAAUCAGAUGAAGAUGAAGAUUUUAAAGAGCAGACUAGACUUCUCAAGGCUAGCAUCCCGUUCUCUGUGGUUGGAUCCAAUCAGUUGAUUGAAGCCAAAGGAAAGAAGGUCAGAGGCCGCCUCUACCCCUGGGG
rnacentral:sRNA from 1 species